rnacentral:rRNA from 1 species
GGGUAGAAUUCCACGUGUAGCAGUGAAAUGCGUAGAUAUGUGGAGGAAUACCAAAUGGCGAAGGCAGCCCCGUGGGAUAACACUGACGCUCAUGCACGAAAGCGUGGGGAGCAAACAGGAUUAGAUACCCUGGUAGUCCACGCCCUAAACGACGCUGACUAGUUGUUGGGAAUUUACAUUCUCAGUAACGUAGCUAACGCGUGAAGUCAGCCGCCUGGGGAGUACGGUCGCAAGAUUAAAACUCAAAGGAAUUGACGGGGACCCGCACAAGCGGUGGAUGAUGUGGAUUAAUUCGAUGCAACGCGAAAAACCUUACCUACCCUUGACAUGUCACUAACGAAGUAGAGAUACAUUAGGUGCCCGUAAGGGAAAGUGAACACAGGUGCUGCAUGACUGUCGUCAGCUCGUGUCGUGAGAUGUUGGGUUAAGUCCCGCAACGAGCGCAACCCUUGUCUUUAGUUGCUACGAAAGAGCACUCUAAAGAGACUGCCGGUGACAAACCGGAGGAAGGUGGGGAUGACGUCAAGUCCUCAUGGCCCUUAUGGGUAGGGCUUCACACGUCAUACAAUGGUGCAUACAGAGGGUUGCCAACCCGCAAGGGGGAGCUAAUCUCAGAAAAUGCAUCGUAGUCCGGAUCGAAGCCUGCAACUCGACUUCGUGAAGCUGGAAUCGCUAGUAAUCGCGGAUCAGAAUGUCGCGGUGAAUACGUUCCCGGGUCUUGUACACACCGCCCGUCAUACCAUGGGAGUGGGUUUUGCCAGAAGCCGUUAGCCUAACCGCAAGGAGGGCGACUGCCACGGCAGGGUUCAUGACUGGGGUAAAGUCGUAACAAGGUAACCGU